GAGGGUGCCCACCCCGACCCUACGCCCAUCUAGGACGGCCGGAAGACUCGACGUCUCGGUAGUCUUCAGGGGGCAGACGCUCCCCUCCCGAAGCUACCUCCUCACGUGGCGCCUCGCUGCCAAGUGCCCCAACCUGCGCGGCGCGGGACCGCAGGAGUCACCUCAAGUGCUGGGGACCCCAGGAGCCGGUGGGAGGGUCCAGCGGGUGGAAAACCCCGCCUAGGGGAUCGCUCCGGAAGUGGCCACCGGCGCCGCGCCCAAGAUGGUGGGGGCUACGCGAUGGCGGCCGCAGCGGGGGCCCUGAUCGAGCGGGAGGCUGGGAUAGUCUGGAGAUUUUCAACCUGAGUUCCUGACCCAUUGAUCCAUCCAUUUCCUGAGUAUUUCUUCCUUGAUACCCUACAGAAAUUUAAGAAGCUGCAGGAUGCUGCAAAUGAGUCACAAAACAAUGAUGGAUACCAGGUCUGCACUCGGUGGAAGUUCUGCAAGAAAGACAUGCUAGAAAAGGAGAUAGAUCUGGUCUCACUAGUGCUGGGGAUCAAACUCAGGGACUUAUGCUUGCAACACAAGCACUCUACCGACUGAGCUAUCUCCCCAGCCCAAGGAGAAUUGGUUUCUAUUGAAAUGACAGCCAUGUGUUUUCAUUUUGAAGCAUUGUUUCAUAGUGUCAUGACAUAUGGAAUAAAUGGGUAGUAUUUUAUUUAUUAAUUCAUUGCCUCUCAACUUCAAAUCCACUUGUCCUUGCUUUGCUUGUGUUACUUGGGAUGAACCUUAUAAACAUUUAUCCUUUGCCA